GAUGAACGCUGGCGGCGUGCCUAAUACAUGCAAGUCGAGCGAACAGAUGAUGAGCUUGUUCCUUUGACGUUAGCGGCGGACGGGUGAGUAACACGUGGAUAACCUACCUAUAAGACUGGGAUAACUACGGGAAACCGGUGCUACUACCGGAUAAUAUAUUGAACCGAAUGGUUCAAUAGUGAUAGACGGUUUUGCUGGCACGUUUAGCUGGUUCCGCGCCGCAUUAGCUAGUUGGUAACGUAACGGCUUACCAAGGCACCGAGGCAUAGACGAUCUGAGAGAUUGAUCGGCCACACUGGAACAGAGACAGGGGCCAGACUCGGACGGGAGGUAGGAGUAGGGAAUAUUGAAGAAUGGGCGGAAGCCGGACGGAGCAACGCCGCGUGAGUGAAGAAGGUCUUAGGAUGGUAAAAAUCUGUUGUUAGGGAAGAAAAAAUGCUUAUGAAAAUAAGCACGUCCUGACGGUACCUGAUCAAUAAGCAACGGCUAACUACGUG
rnacentral:rRNA from 1 species